UGUGCAUCUGUGCGUCCCCAUUUUGGUUUGCAAAAGGCCGUGCUGGGAGCUCUGCCUUAAGGUUAGAUGGUUCAUCCCACCACCUAACUACUUACCCUCAGUUGCAUUGAGUGGUUUUUCCCUUCUGGUUUAUAGCCUGGGCAAUACCACCCUGCUCAGACCUGCGUUGCAUGCAAGAUCCCCUUUGUUCUCCAGGAAAAGGGAACCACGAAGACAUGGCCUCUGUUGCCUCCCUUUCCCUUGCAAGUUACUGCAAUCUGCUCUAGAAAGGAUUGUGGUGAUGGAGGGCAAAGCCCCUGGUACCCUCAGCACCUGAUGGGUCACAUGGUGCUGCUGUAAGGAAAGCCAAAAAUGCCUGAUGGACAAGCAAAGGAGACGUGCAGGAGGGCUGCAAGAAAGGAGUUCCCUUCACCCAGCUUCAGGCCUCCUACUGAUGCACCUGUGGUGAGAAAGUGAGAGGACCAGGCUUUGCCAAGCACAACCACAGCAGCUGGAACAGCUUCUGGCAUUUCUGAUGGGCCGUCCAACAAAACAUGCUCAUGUAUGCACCACAGUCUCACAUAACUGAAGAAAGGACCAAAAAGCCAGCUUCUGUGUACUCAUCUCGUGUCCAAAAGCAACAGAAGUCUCCUACACACACCUUGGAAACGUGAAGGACUUCUCCCCAGAGUUUGGAUGCAAAUUCCACAGAUAUUUUCCCAGGAAUUGAGUUGAAAGGACCUUAUGUGUACUCCAUCAUCAAUUCCAUGCUAAGUUACAUUGACCCCUAAUCUAUACCAUUUCUUCACUAGCUGUAAUAAAGGUACCUUUUUAUCUACUA